rnacentral:rRNA from 1 species
UACGUAGGGUGCGAGCGUUAAUCGGAAUUACUGGGCGUAAAGCGUGCGUAGGCGGUUCUCCAAGUCCGUUGUGAAAGCCCCGGGCUCAACCUGGGAAUGGCAGUGGAAACUAGGGGACUGGAAUCUGGGCAGAGGGGGGUGGAAUGCCGCGUGUAGCAGUGAAAUGCGUAGAGAUGCGGCGGAACACCGAUGGCGAAGGCAGCCCCCUGGGCUGAGAUUGACGCUCAGGCACGAAAGCGUGGGGAGCAAACAGGG